rnacentral:siRNA from 1 species
UCGACCCGACUCUUUCAUCAUAGA